rnacentral:rRNA from 1 species
GACGAACGCUGGCGGCGUGCUUAACACAUGCAAGUCGAGCGGUAAGGCCCUUUCGGGGGUACACGAGCGGCGAACGGGUGAGUAACACGUGGGUGACCUGCCCUCAGCUCUGGGAUAAGCCUGGGAAACCGGGUCUAAUACUGGAUAUGACUCCAUGACGCAUGUUGUGGGGUGGAAAGCCUUGUGCGGCUGAGGAUGGGCCCGCGGCCUAUCAGCUUGUUGGUGGGGUGANGGCCUACCAAGGCGACGACGGAUAGCCGGCCUGAGAGGGCGACCGGCCACACUGGGACUGAGACACGGCCCAGACUCCUACGGGAGGCAGCAGUGGGGAAUCUUGCGCAAUGGGCGAAAGCCUGACGCAGCGACGCCGCGUGAGGGAUGACGGCCUCGGUGUAACUAC